UACGUAGGGGGCUAGCGUUGUCCGGAAUCAUUGGGCGUAAAGGAGCGUGUAGGCGGCCAUGCAGGUCCGCUGUGAAACUCGAGGCUCAACCUCGAGACGUCGGUGGAACCGCAUGGCUAGAGUCCGGAAGAGGAGAGUGGAAUUCCCGGUGUAGCGGUGAAAUGCGCAGAUAUCGGGAAGAACACCCGUGGCGAAGGCGGCUCUCUGGGACGGUACUGGACGCUGAGACGCGGAA
rnacentral:rRNA from 1 species